AUUGAACGCUGGCGGCAUGCCUUACACAUGCAAGUCGAACGGUAACGGGCCUUCGGGUGCCGACGAGUGGCGAACGGGUGAGUAAUACAUCGGAACGUGCCCGAUCGUGGGGGAUAACGAGGCGAAAGCUUUGCUAAUACCGCAUACGAUCUACGGAUGAAAGCAGGGGACCGCAAGGCCUUGCGCGGACGGAGCGGCCGAUGGCAGAUUAGGUAGUUGGUGGGAUAAAAGCUUACCAAGCCGACGAUCUGUAGCUGGUCUGAGAGGAUGAUCAGCCACACUGGGACUGAGACACGGCCCAGACUCCUACGGGAGGCAGCAGUGGGGAAUUUUGGACAAUGGGCGCAAGCCUGAUCCAGCCAUGCCGCGUGCAGGAUGAAGGCCUUCGGGUUGUAAACUGCUUUUGUACGGAACGAAAAGCCUUCUUUUAAUACAGGAGGGUCAUGACGGUACCGUAUGAAUAAGCACCGGCUAACUACGUG
rnacentral:rRNA from 1 species